rnacentral:misc_RNA from 1 species
CAGGCGUUGUGACAUCCUUGCUUGAGGCUAGCAACUUAAUUGUUCUUCGGGAAUCAUCUGUUAUACAUUCUAAUGCUAACCUGGGAGUCCAUGGACAAGGUUUAUUGAACUUGUCAGGUCCUGGAGAUUGGAUUGAAGCACAGCGUUUAGUUCUUUCUUUAUUUUAUAGUAUUCAUGUUGGUCCUGGAUCUAUUUUGCGAGGCCCGGUAGAUGAUGCAGCAAAAAAUGCCGUGACUCCUAAGCUCUACUGUGAAGACCAAGAUUGCCCCAUCGAACUAUUUUAUCCUCCUGAAGAUUGCAAUGUG